GACAGAGGAUGCAAGCGUUAUCCGGAAUGAUUGGGCGUAAAGCGUCUGUAGGUGGCUUUUUAAGUCUGCCGUCAAAUCCCAGGGCUUAACCCUGGACAGGCGGUGGAAACUACCAAGCUGGAGUACGGUAGGGGCAGGGGGAAUUUCCGGUGGAGCGGUGAAAUGCGUAGAGAUCGGAAAGAACACCAACGGCGAAAGCGCUCUGCUGGGCCGACACUGACACUGAGAGACGAAAGCUAGGGGAGCGAAUGGG
rnacentral:rRNA from 1 species